rnacentral:tRNA from 1 species
UAAAACCUGCAGGACAUUAACCCACAUCUUUUGAAUGCAACUCAAACUCUUUAAUUAAGAUAAAGUUU